rnacentral:rRNA from 1 species
CUAACACAUGCAAGUCGCACGAGAAAAGGGCUUAGGCUCUGAGUAAAGUGGCGUACGGGUGAGUAACACGUGAAUUAUCUACCUCCGAGUGGGGAAUAACCUAGAGAAAUCUGGGCUAAUACCGCAUAACACUUACGAGUCAAAAGCAGUAAUGCGCUUGGAGAGGAGUUCGCGGCAGAUUAGCUAGUUGGCGGGGUAAUGGCCCACCAAGGCAAUGAUCUGUAUCCGGCCUGAGAGGGCGCACGGACACACUGGAACUGAAACACGGUCCAGACUCCUACGGGAGGCAGCAGUGGGGAAUUUUGCGCAAUGGGGGAAACCCUGACGCAGCAACGCCGCGUGGAGGAUGAAAUCCCUUGGGAUGUAAACUCCUUUCGAUAGGGAAGAUAAUGACGGUACCUAUAGAAGAAGCCCCGGCUAACUUCGUGC